UAAUAAUUCUCAAUUUUCUUUGCAGAUCUACACGGUAAUAUCAGACAAACUCGUCGGGAUUUUACUGAGGACACGAAAACAUCAGCUCACGUUUUUUGAGGGAGAAGUUUUGUUUCAGAAACGAGACGACGACGUGCCAGUGUUCCUGAUGCAGCCAAUCGAAGACAUCAGAGCGUACUGCGACAACAAAGCGUUACAAGCCAGGCGCUCGGUAUCACCUAUGCCUAAUUAAUCACUUAAAGCAACUGAAUGUUUGCCGGCAAACAUGACAGCUACAUGAUUACGCGUGUCACGGAAAAAUAACCUUAUUAUGUAGUAUAUAAGGUUAUAUUCCCGUGACAGACGUAAAUGUCAAUGUAGCUGUCAUGUUUGCCGGCAAACAUUCCGAUGCUUCAUGGGUUAAGUUAGUAAUGAAACAAAUGUGCGACGUCUGUACUCAAUUACCGAUAAAUGCUUUUAAUUAGCGUCUUAACUAAUUGGUAUUUUGUCUCCCUAAUUUCAUAUCAGUUGAAGAGACUAAAAAGUAAUUCCUUUUCUUUGUAAAUCUGUCUUUAUACCUCAACAGUGUUGUGAUGCCGCAACAAAGAAUUUCAAACAUGUAACAGAAUUCGAUUCAGUUUUUAAAGAAUGAAAUCAUAAAUUAUACCAGAAAAAUCAUGUUUUUUUUGAGAGAUGUGUAGUCUUCAGCUUUGGCGGCCGGCCCUAAACCACGUGAGGCCCCAGACGAAAGCAAAAAAAAACGAUGCGAGGUCCCGAGUGGAGCAAACAUAGUCCCCGGUUUAAAUAGUUUCAUCGUAAGAUCGUAAAAAAGGUCCUCGAAGACACCGCUCGAGGCCCCUGUAAACGCGAGACCCAUAUAAGCGUGAGGCCCCGGCCGGUUGCCCACCCCUUACGCCGCCCCUGGAGUCUAGAAUUCGCAAUUCAGCACAAUUACGUCAGCCCGUUUGAAACUAGAUAUAUACAGCCUGAUCCCAGAAUGCGACCUUAUGUGGGCCAAUAUUGCGGGCUUCACCCACCCCUUACGCCGCUCCUGGAGUCUAGACUUCGCAAUUCGGCACAAUUACGUCAGCCCUUUUGAAACUAGAUAUAUACAGCCUGAUUCCAGAAUGCGACCUUAUGUGGGCCAAUAUUGCGGGCUUCACCUACCCCUUACGCCGCUCCUGUAGUCUAGACUUCGCAAUUCGGCACAAUUACGUCAGCCCUUUCGAAACUAGAUAUAUACAGGCUGAUUCCAAAAUGCGACACCGUUAUGUAGGCCAAUAUUGCCAGCUUCUCCUUGUGAUAGUAGUCGAUAUUAGACUGGAUACAAAUAUCUACCAAAGGGAAAAUAACAAAAUACUGAUUAUUUUAAUCAUUGAUUAAGAAUGUUUAUGGGUAAGAAACUUACAUGUGGUAACACGAGCAUUAUGUAUGGACAAUAAUUGGUGGAUUGCAAAUGAAAAUAAAA